GACGAACCGUGCAAACGUUGUUCGGAAUCACUGGGCUUAAAGGGCGCGUAGGCGGGUUCCCAAGUCGGUGGUGAAAUCUUUCAGCUCAACUGGAAAAGUGCCGCCGAUACUGGGAGUCUUGAGGGAGGUAGGGGUCGAGGGAACUAAUGGUGGAGCGGUGAAAUGCGUAGAUAUCAUUAGGAACGCCGGUGGCGAAAGCGCUCGACUGGACCUCUUCUGACGCUGAGGCGCGAAAGCCAGGGGAGCAAACAGG
rnacentral:rRNA from 1 species